rnacentral:tRNA from 1 species
GCGGGCGUAGUGUAGUCUGGUAUCACCGGGGCUUCCCAAGCCCCUAACCCGGGUUCAAAUCCCGGCGCCCGCACCA